rnacentral:rRNA from 1 species
AACGAACGCUGGCGGCAUGCCUAACACAUGCAAGUCGAACGAUUGCCUUCGGGUGAUAGUGGCGCACGGGUGCGUAACGCGUGGGAAUCUGCCCUUAGGUUCGGAAUAACAGCUGGAAACGGCUGCUAAUACCGGAUGAUAUCGCGAGAUCAAAGAUUUAUCGCCUGAGGAUGAGCCCGCGUUGGAUUAGGUAGUUGGUGGGGUAAAGGCCUACCAAGCCGACGAUCCAUAGCUGGUCUGAGAGGAUGAUCAGCCACACUUGGACUGAGACACGGCCCAGACUCCUACGGGAGGCAGCAGUGGGGAAUAUUGGACAAUGGGCGCAAGCCUGAUCCAGCAAUGCCGCGUGAGUGAUGAAGGCCCUAGGGUUGUAAAGCUCUUUUACCCGGGAAGAUAAUGACUGUACCGGGAGAAUAAGCCCCGGCUAACUCCGUG